AACAUUCACAAUGAAAAUGCUUGAUAAGUAUUUUAUGAUACCAAUUGUGCCACCAAUCUAAUAAACAUCGCACACAAAAGGGAAUCGAUGGAUUGCAAGAAAUGAAACCGUCGGACAAUGCUGGACUGAUUAAUAAGGCUCAAGGAAACGGAAGCAUUAAAAAGAUCCAAUUUAAUAUGUUCGUCUAACUUCAAUGUACAAUUCGGGAUCCUCACUGGGAUGAGAAAAAGCUCAACGCCAGGCAAAUUCAGCAAGGAAACCAAGGUAAAGCCACCGCCAG